rnacentral:rRNA from 1 species
GAUGAACGCUGGCGGCGUGCUUAACACAUGCAAGUCGAACGAAACACCUUAUUUGAUUUUCUUCGGAACUGAAGAUUUGGUGAUUGAGUGGCGGACGGGUGAGUAACGCGUGGGUAACCUGCCCUGUACAGGGGGAUAACAGUCAGAAAUGACUGCUAAUACCGCAUAAGACCACAGCACCGCAUGGUGCAGGGGUAAAAACUCCGGUGGUACAGGAUGGACCCGCGUCUGAUUAGCUGGUUGGUGAGGUAACGGCUCACCAAGGCGACGAACAGUAGCCGGCUGGAGAGAGGGAACGGCCACAUUGGGACUGAGACACGGCCCAAACUCCUACGGGAGGCAGCAGUGGGGAAUAUUGCACAAUAGGGGAAACCCUGAUGCAGCGACGCCGCGUGAGUGAAGAAGUAUUUCGGUAUGUAAAGCUCUAUCAGCAGAGAAGAAAAUGACGGUACCUGACUAAGAAGCCCCGGCUAACUACGUG